rnacentral:misc_RNA from 1 species
GCUAGACACCCAUGUCUAGCAAGCAGAACCUCGUUUGGGGCCCAAGAAGCAUAGAAGACAUCUCACAAAAGGAUCAACCAAUCAACACUGGACAAGUUGGAUGAACUGGAUGAUGACGACAACUUACAAAGGAAUGGAAAUCACUCGGAAUUUUUAACUCUCGGAGUACCUGGUAAAUCAUCAUUUUUUUGACAAGCUUCCUCAUCACAUAGAUUGAGCUCAAUUUG